UAUGACCACAUCAUGUUGAAGCACUGGUUCCCCGUACACUCAAUGAAGUUAAACAAUGUUGAGCCUGGUCAGCACCUAGAUGGGUGACUGCUUGGGAAUACCAGGUACUGUAA